GGAAGCGUGGCCGAGCGGUUUAAGGCAGCAGUCUUGAAAACUGCCGUAGGGGUGACUCUACCGUGAGUUCGAAUCUCACCGCUUCCGCCA
rnacentral:tRNA from 2 species